UGCGUAGGUGGCCUGACAAGUCAGGGGUCAAAGGCAACGGCUCAACCGUUGUAAGCCCUUGAAACUGUCGGGCUUGAGUUCAGGAGAGGAAAGCGGAAUUCCUAGUGUAGCGGUGAAAUGCGUAGAUAUUAGGAGGAACACCAGUGGCGAAGGCGGCUUUCUGGACUGAUACUGACACUGAGGCACGAAAGCGUGGGGAGCAAACAG
rnacentral:rRNA from 1 species